CCUACGGGCGGCAGCAGUGAGGAAUAUUGGUCAAUGGACGAGAGUCUGAACCAGCCAAGUAGCGUGAAGGAUGACUGCCCUAUGGGUUGUAAACUUCUUUUAUAUGGGAAUAAAACGUUCCACGUGUGGGAUUUUGUAUGUACCAUAUGAAUAAGGAUCGGCUAAAUCCGUGCCAGCAGCCGCGGUAAUACGGAGGAUCCGAGCGUUAUCCGGAUUUAUUGGGUUUAAAGGGAGCGUAGGUGGAUUGUUAAGUCAGUUGUGAAAGUUUGCGGCUCAACCGUAAAAUUGCAGUUGAAACUGGCAGUCUUGAGUACAGUAGAGGUGGGCGGAAUUCGUGGUGUAGCGGUGAAAUGCUUAGAUAUCACGAAGAACUCCGAUUGCGAAGGCAGUUCACUGGACUGCAACUGACACUGAGGCUCGAAAGUGUGGGUAUCAAACAGGAUUAGAUACCCUGGUAGUC
rnacentral:rRNA from 1 species